rnacentral:rRNA from 1 species
GAUGAACGCUAGCGGGAGGCUUAACACAUGCAAGUCGAGGGGUAAAUGGUAGCAAUACUAUGAGACCGGCGGACGGGUGCGUAACGCGUAUGCAACAUACCUUGUGCAGGGGGAUAGCCCGUGGAAACGCGGAUUAAUAUUCCAUAGUCCAGCUAUAUCGCAUGGUAUAGUUGGUAAAGAUUUAUCGGCACAAGUUUGGCAUGCGUCUGAUUAGCUUGUUGGUAGGGUAACGGCCUACCAAGGCUACGAUCAGUAGGGGUUCUGAGAGGAUUAACCCCCACACUGCUACUGAGACACGGACCAGACUCCUACGGGAGGCAGCAGUGAGGAAUAUUGGUCAAUGGGCGGAAGCCUGAACCAGCCAUCCCGCGUGAAGGAAGACAGCCUUACGGGUUGUAAACUUCUUUUCUGUCAGAAGAAUAAGCUUGUCGAGACGAGUGAUGCCGGUAUGACAGGAAUAAGCAUCGGCUAACUCCGUGCCAGCAGCCGCGGUAA